AAGUCGUAACAAGGUUUCCGUAGGUGAACCUGCGGAAGGAUCAUUAUCGUGUUUUCUUCUGGGUCUUCGCAAGAAGAUUUCAGAAACAAACGUAUUCACCCAAUCGUGAACUUGUUCCUUUGAGGCUUAGAUGAGCGAGUCAAAUCUCUCGUCUUUUUCUCAAAUUAAUAUUUUUUUUUACAACUUUAUUCACCACUUGUAUUCAAUGUGCUAAACUAAAAAUCUUGGACGAAAUAACUCUUUCGAGAGUUUCAUUUCUGAAAAGAAAGUACGAAAUUGCUGAACAACUCUUAGCAACGGAUAUCUUGGUUCUC
rnacentral:misc_RNA from 1 species